rnacentral:rRNA from 1 species
UACGGAGGGUGCGAGCGUUAAUCGGAAUUACUGGGCGUAAAGCGCACGUAGGCGGCUUGAUAAGUCGGGUGUGAAAUCCCUGGGCUCAACCUGGGAACUGCAUUCGAUACUGUCUGGCUAGAGUGCGGUAGAGGGGGGUAGAAUUCCUAGUGUAGCGGUGAAAUGCGUAGAUAUUAGGAGGAAUACCAGUGGCGAAGGCGGCCCCCUGGACUGACACUGACGCUGAGGUGCGAAAGCGUGGGGAGCAAACAGG